GAUGAAGAACGUAGCGAAAUGCGAUAAGUAAUGUGAAUUGCAGAAUUCAGUGAAUCAUCGAAUCUUUGAACGCACAUUGCGCCCCCUGGUAUUCCGGGGGGCAUGCCUGUUCGAGCGUCAUUUCAACCCUCAAGCUCUGCUUGGUAUUGAGUCCAUGUCAGCAAUGGCAGGCUCCAAAAUCAGUGGCGGCGCCGCUGGGUCCUGAACGUAGUAAUAUCUCUCGUUACAGGUGCUCGGCGUGCUUCUGCCAAAACCACAAUUUUUCUAUGGUUGACCUCGGAUCAGGUAGGGAUACCCGCUGAACUUAAGCAUAUCAAUAAGCGGAGGA
rnacentral:misc_RNA from 1 species